AUAAUGGGUCAGCGACUUAUAUUCUGUAGCAAGGUUAACCGAAUAGGGGAGCCGAAGGGAAACCGAGUCUUAACUGGGCGUUAAGUUGCAGGGUAUAGACCCGAAACCCGGUGAUCUAGCCAUGGGCAGGUUGAAGGUUGGGUAACACUAACUGGAGGACCGAACCGACUAAUGUUGAAAAAUUAGCGGAUGACUUGUGGCUGGGGGUGAAAGGCCAAUCAAACCGGGAGAUAGCUGGUUCUCCCCGAAAGCUAUUUAGGUAGCGCCUCGUGAAUUCAUCUCCGGGGGUAGAGCACUGUUUCGGCAAGGGGGUCAUCCCGACUUACCAACCCGAUGCAAACUGCG
rnacentral:rRNA from 1 species